CGGGAAGAGCUCAAAUUUGAAAGCUGGCGUCCUUCGGGCGUCCGCAUUGUAAUCUAUAGAGGCGUUUUCUGUGCUGGACCGUGUCCAAGUCCCUUGGAACAGGGUAUCAAAGAGGGUGACAAUCCCGUACUUGACACGACAACCAGUGCUCUGUGAUACGUCUUCUAC
rnacentral:rRNA from 1 species